GAUCACUUCAGCAGCAUGGUAUUGACCCGACAACAAAUGUCUCCAUCAAUCAUAGCCGGACACAACAGGAGUGUAUUGUUCAAAGACACGACAGAGGGUGUUUAAUCACCGCUGAUCGGGUGUGGGUUUGUGUUUCCGAGUCUGCAUACCUUCGCUGAGGUGAUGUGAUCUCUGUGCAGCCACCCAGGAGCUGGACAUCUGUGUGGGUUGAUCCAUGAAUGGAUGGACGGAUGGAAACCCUGAUGAGAGCUGUGAGAGUGAACCAGAACAGUGAAGUUGCUGGCUGUAAAACCAAAACAAUGAGCUAAAAGAGGUGCAGAGCUACCAGAGCAGUUGGACUACAUGCAAACAGCGCCUGGAAGAAGAUCAGCUCUGCACUCAGGAUUUCAGGGUCAGGAUCUUGCCCCAGAGGACGUGGCCCCUGCAACAAAGGCCCCUACAGCAGAAAAUCUGAAUGUACAGUGUGUGCUUGUGUCUGACAUGUCUACCUGUCUGCACAAGAAGACCACCCCGCAUCCUUUUCCCUCACAAUUACAUCACACGCUGUGGGCGGUUGGCACGGCAACAGACAGGCAGGGAAUUGUUGCAGCCUCCCCGACAAAUCGGUGCUUGCCCUCGAGAGUUUUCCUUUUCAAGUAAAACUUUAAUGAUUCAGCCUUUGAAUCAUCAAAGGGCAGGUUUAAUGAGUCGAUUUAGAUGGAACCAAAAAAGUUUGACUUUGGUUUCAUUAUCUCUUCAAGGAAAAGGGCUCAGUGAAUACUAAUGAAAUAUACACAGUUAGAAUGAUUCACACAACGUGCAUUUAAAUUAAAUGACAUAAAAACUGAGUAAGGUGAAAUCAUUAACCUGACAACCCAAACAGUUGGGACAAGAAAAGAUUAAACUCAAAUCACCAACAAUUAUGAGGACUUCAAAUAAUAAAAAAGACUCAUCAGAUGACUUUGAACAUUUGCUUUUUCAUUUAAGUAGUCCUAUGGUGGAAGAAGGUCUCAGGAUCUUGUGGAAAAGUAGAAAUACGACAUUGUUAAAAUACUGCAUUACAAGUAAAAGUCCAGCAUUCAAAAUUUUACUUGAAAGUACAAAAGUGACGCCAAGACUGAGACUUCCAUGUCUCAGAUUUAGGCCCAAUAAAGUGGGCAAUGGACUGCAUUUAUAUGAAUCAGAAUCAGGUUUAUU